UUCUCACCCCUUCGCCUUUCUCAGCUGCCCCACCCCUGCCCUCUUUCCGAAUCUCCGAGUCCUCUUCUUCUUUCUCUGUCAGAUUCCCCAGCAAGUGGGCUGGCACGACUGCAGUCUCCUCUGGCUCACGUCACACAGUGCGAUGGCCUCUCGGGCCCCCUGCGCUCUUGCAAAUGGGUCCCCUUCUGCAGGGCCAAGCCGCAUCCGUGGUCUGUCUGCGCCUCUUCACAGGCACAUCCACCCCGGGCAGUGAGCUCGCUCCCUUCUCUGGACGGUUGGCACUGCAUCUGAGGAAAAGAAGUAAAAGUCCGUCAUUCGGGCUCCGGGCACCAUCAGCUGUGUCGCCGCCACGAUCUCCGGUCAAUCCAACACCAUGUGGCCCCUGCUCAGGGCCCAGCAGCAAGAGUCCUUUCACCCCUUUUCUUCCCAGCAAGGUCUCUCCUCUUCCUAAGCCACAUGGCAAAAGGGAGCACCCCAAAGCCGCGUGGUCCCAAACAACCCAGCAUGGUGGCUGUGGCUGGGUUUUGAUCCCAGCGCCAAUCUGACUCCACAGCCCCAUUUCCGACUCCUCCCACAAUUGGCUACACCUGCCAGCACUCCCGUAUUCGUCCAGCUUUACUGGGCUGCCAUGGUGAGUCUGGGCAGCUGUGGCCCCCCUGGAGUGGAGCCCAUCAUCUCCAAGCUGGAACCAGGGGGAGCUGCCUCCCAGUUACAUCCUGGGUGGAAGUCCCUCCCAUCCCCCUGGUUCAAAGCAGGGCCACAGUGUUUAACGUAUCCAUGGAAGCAGUUGAAGCCCACAGAUAUGUUAAAUGACCCUUCUAGAGGUUACCUGCAAAACUUGCUAUGCAGGACCACUCUCAAUGGCCCUGCUCCAUGUGUCCCACCCUCCAGUUCAGACCUGCGGGUGUGUGUGUGUGUGUGUGUGUGUGUGUGUGCACAUUCCAUAUUUUUAAUAUUUCCUGGAAACCGUGAGUUCUGGACCUCAUUACAAAUCCUUCUUUGGGGGGCCCUGGCUGCACCCUCUUACAGAAUUGCAGGGUCCUUUUGCCUCUUGGUAUAGUCUAUACCAGACUGUACAAGUUUGGGUAUUUCUAUACCCAAAAUACAACGUAUUUCUUCUGGUAUAUUACCUCAGCUUUUUUUGUUUCCACUUUCAUGAAAUAUCUUUUCCAUCCUUUUA